CCUACGGGAGGCAGCAGUGGGGAAUAUUGCACAAUGGGCGCAAGCCUGAUGCAGCCAUGCCGCGUGUGUGAAGAAGGCCUUCGGGUUGUAAAGCACUUUCAGCGGGGAGGAAGGCGGUGAGGUUAAUAACCUCAUCGAUUGACGUUACCCGCAGAAGAAGCACCGGCUAACUCCGUGCCGGCAGCCGCGGUAAUACGGAGGGUGCAAGCGUUAAUCGGAAUUACUGGGCGUAAAGCGCACGCAGGCGGUCUGUCAAGUCGGAUGUGAAAUCCCCGGGCUCAACCUGGGAACUGCAUUCGAAACUGGCAGGCUAGAGUCUUGUAGAGGGGGGUAGAAUUCCAGGUGUAGCGGUGAAAUGCGUAGAGAUCUGGAGGAAUACCGGUGGCGAAGGCGGCCCCCUGGACAAAGACUGACGCUCAGGUGCGAAAGCGUGGGGAGCAAACAGGAUUAGAUACCCGGGUAGUC
rnacentral:rRNA from 1 species